GAGUUUGAUCAUGGCUCAGGAUGAACGCUAGCGGCAGGCUUAAUACAUGCAAGUCGAGGGGCGGCAGCUUUAUAGCAAUAUAGAGGCUGGCGACCGGCAAACGGGUGCGGAACACGUACACAACCUUCCUUGAAUAGGGGGAUAGCCCAUAGAAAUGUGGAUUAAUACCCCGUAAUAUAGCGGUGUGGCAUCACACUGUUAUUAUAGUUUCGGCGAUUCGAGAUGGGUGUGCGGCUGAUUAGGUAGUUGGCGGGGUAAAGGCCCACCAAGCCUUCGAUCAGUAGCUGAUGUGAGAGCAUGAUCAGCCACACGGGCACUGAGACACGGGCCCGACUCCUACGGGAGGCAGCAGUAAGGAAUAUUGGUCAAUGGACGCAAGUCUGAACCWGCCAUGCCGCGUGAAGGAUGAAGGUCYUCUGGAUUGUAAACUUCUUUUAUAGGGGGCKAAAAAAGGUC
rnacentral:rRNA from 1 species